rnacentral:tRNA from 1 species
GCACUCGUAGCUCAGCUGGAUAGAGUACGUGACUACGAAUCACGGGGUCGGGAGUUCGAAUCUCUCCGAGUGCGCCA